GUAGGGGCCAAACGUUUGUCCGGAUUUAUUGGGCGUAAAGGGCUCGUAGGCGGUUCAACAAGUCGGUCGUGAAAUGCCGGGGCUCAACCCCGGAACGCCGGUCGAAACUGUUGUGACUAGGGUCCGGUAGAGGUGAGUGGAAUUCUCGGUGUAGCGGUGGAAUGCGCAGAUAUCGAGAGGAACACCAGUUGCGGAGGCGGCUCACUGGGCCGGUACCGACGCUAAGGAGCGAAAGCAUGGGGAGCAAACAGGAUUAGAUACCCUGGUAGUCCAUGCCGUAAACUGUGAACACUAGGUGUGGCGGAUCUAUUGAUGUCUGCCGUACCGUAGCUAACGCGUUAAGUGUUCCGCCUGGGGAGUACGGCCGCAAGGCUA
rnacentral:rRNA from 1 species